UCGUUUUAGAGAGUAUUAGGGCAGUGGAGUAAGAGAGCAUUGUUCCAAAUUGCUGCUCACGUUCUUGGUUCACAAACACGUUCUUGGUUCACAAACACAUAAACAAACACAUUGGGUGGUUGAAGCACAUCAGAGAGCUGCUAUUUGUGAAGAUUCUUCAUAGCUUUAUAUGGUUCAGAUUGAGGCCAUUGGAGGCCGUUUGGUUGGUGUUCUAGGCGUUGCAAGGUUGGGGAACUUCCCGUUAGCGAGAUACUAUUGGUGAAGACGGAGCUAGUAACUGACAAGUUCGCUAGAGUUGAUUCAGUAAUUGAGGUGAGCCGUCGCAUUGUUCGUGGAGGCUGCCAAAAGAGUCUUUAUUAUUUAUUCACAUGAUGUCUUUCGCAAUUCUCUUAGAUGCUCCAUGGUCUAGUGUAGGAUUUGGGUUAGAGUUUCAGUAUUAUAUUUCGAGAUAUU